AAAUAAUAGGUGCCGUUCGAAGCUCUCGAGAUGACAAACGCAGUUAUCGGAUUACUUUGGAAUUUCUACGGUUGAAUCAAAAGUAAUUUAAAGGUCAAAUUUGGCUAGGGUUUGUUCUUUCUCAAUGAUUGAUGAUGAAAAUGAGUUUUUGAACUCAUAUACAUGUAUAUGUACACAUAUUCCCGUCCAUAAUAUCAUAGGGAAUGACCAAAGUGCCUUUAAAAUUUAAAUAAUGUCAAAUCUGUCCUUUGGUGGACUGUUUUGAUAAGCUAAAGUAGAUCGACCAUAACUCUUUGCUCCGAUAUCGGAUUUGGGUGAAAUUGGUAUCGUUGGAAAGAUAAUUCAAAGGGAUUUCAUUUCAUAUAAAGUAGGCUACCCAGUUCGUCCUGUACAAGGAGUUAUG
rnacentral:lncRNA from 1 species